AAAGCCUCUUCCCUUCUCCUGGCCCACAGAAGACAUCACUUCCUUGAAGACUUGGCUGACUGUGGGCCUCCUGGCAGCUCCUUCCUGGGGCCGAGGGCCAAAAUCCUGACAAGAUUAAGAAGAGGCUUUGGGACUGGGCCAUGCCGGGAAAACAGGAAAGAUGACGAAUCAAACUCCCCUCUUUCUGGGGGAUGUUUAUUCCAGUGUUCCCUCAGCUGAGUUUUCUGGAUACACAGUAACCCUUGACUUUUCAUCCUGUGCCCAGCCUCUGGCCCCACGGCAACUAGGACACCCCUUAAUCCUAGAGCUCUCAGGACGGGCUUGCUCCCAUGUCUGCUUGGCUAACUGCACCGAACUCCUGGAAAGCAGGAAGAGCACAGAUAUAUCUUAACUGAGUGUGUACCUCGUUCCAUGGGAGAAACCGUCCUCUCAUACAAGCCUCUCCAGCUCCCCAGGGAAGGACCUUUAGACUCCUGUUUCUGUCAGUGCUCAUGGCAGAGGUGUGGAGCCUGGGCCUCAGCAGAGACACCUGGCCUGAAGGACUGGAAGGCCUCUCGGCUGGGCUGCCUGCUGCUCACACGGUGGAUCCACACGGUGACCGGGAUCUGUGCUCCGCUUUGAGGAGAGGGCCCCUCCUCCCACCUGAGACCACACCCUUCCAACUGCCAACACCCACGUACAACACCGGUGCUAGAAGUCACCAGGAGAAGAAGGAGAGGAACAAGGAAAGCUGGAAAAUCAACAUGAGCGUGGUUGACAAGGUGUCUUUCAGUGGGUGGACCACAGAGGUCAGCACGCACAUUCAUUGAGCGGCUCGAUGUUCUGCAGAGGAGUGGGCUGAGACGAGAGGGCGACUUUAUCUUCAGGAUGGCCUCCCUUGGGCUGCUUUGCUGGGCUGCGGGUGAUGGUGGUGAGAGCUGCAGUUAGUGUCCCGUGGCUGUGUCCCCCACUCCCCAACCCCAGUAUGAGAGCUCUUGGGGGUCCAGGAACCAGAUCUUGGGGAUCUUUGCUGCAUCUCCAGCCGCCAGCAUGGGGCUUGGCCCUGAGCAGGUAGGUGCUCAGUGAAAGAAUAAACAAAUACCAGAGACUUCCA
rnacentral:lncRNA from 1 species